rnacentral:lncRNA from 1 species
CCUGACUGGUUCAAACGCAGCGGUUGUAGUUGCGGGAGUUUGUGGAUGCGGGCGGUUGCGGUUUCUAGCAGUUUUAAGAAAUUUGUAUGACUGGUACUGCGGUUAAAAAUUGGUGCGUUUGCGGGUGAUUUAUGACUAGUUAACUACCAAAUGCGGUAACAGUCAAAUAAUAAAUUAACAAUAUUUACAUUUAAUAUAAUUAUAAAAAUAUCAAAAAUCAUCAAAUUAUAAUAAAUAUAAAACUUAUAUUUAGAAAGUUAUAAUUUUAAAUUUUGAAAAUUAAUUGAAAUUGUUUUAUUAUAAAAUUUUAUAAUAUUAAUUAAAAUAUAAUAUAUAUAUUUUAAUAUUUUCAUAAUUUCAAUUUUAAAUUUUUAUUAAAUAUUUUUACUUUUGUAUAUAUAUUGUUUAAAAAAAAAGAAAAAAAUUUUACCCUCCCGCAACCGCUAGCUGGAGCCAGCUUUUGAAUUUAUGAGAUUCGGAGCGGUUUGAAGCGGUUUAGAGCGAUUUGAGUGAUUGUUGCAAACCGCCGACAACCGCUACCAACCGCAAAAGCUGCGUUUGCGGGUGGUAGCGGGAAAACCAG